UUUUUAGAGUUUUUAGUGUUUUUGAUACGGUAAUAUAUCGGGUCCGAAAAUAUGCGGUAAUGGACCGAUUAUCGAUAAUUAAAUGUCGGGUCCAGACGUUUUCCUUCCCACAUGUCCAUCUAUGGCGGCUUCGCUGCUUCCUCGUUCAACAUACCCUAGAUUGAUCUUCGCCCCUCUAUUCUCUCUCCAACGUGAUCUUCUCCUUCCAAGCUCUGAUCGCCUCGUCCAUGUCUCCUCCCCAAUCGCCGCCUUCAAUCGUCGAUUUAGGGCUCAGAACUCGAACAACAGCGCCGACGCAACCGUCGUCGCCGGCGACGAGAAUUACGGCAACAAACGAGUCAUUAGCGUCACACCAAGGCUCUAUGAUUAUCUAUUGAGCAAUGUCAGAGAGCCUGAGAUUCUGAAGGAACUUAGAGAGGAGACCGCGACCAGGCGAGGUAGUCAGAUGCAGGUAUCUCCUGAUCAAGCACAACUACUUGCAAUGCUUGUCCAGAUUCUUGGGGCAGAGAAGUGCAUCGAAGUUGGUGUUUACACCGGAUACUCAUCGUUGGCUAUAGCUUUAGUCCUACCAGAAUCAGGCCGUUUAGUUGCUUGUGAAAGAGAUAUGAAGUCUCUGGAGGUUGCGAAAAGGUAUUAUGAUCGAGCUGGUGUUUCACACAAGGUGGAUGUGAAGCAUGGUAUGGCUGCUGAUGCUUUAAAAUCUAUGAUUCAAAAGGGGGAAAGUUGCAGCUAUGACUUUGCAUUUGUUGACGCUGAGAAGAGAAUGUAUCAUGAAUACUUUGAAUUGCUGCUGCAACUGGUGAGGGUUGGGGGUCUCAUUGUGAUUGAUAAUGUCCUCUGGCACGGAAAAGUUGCUAAUCCACUGGUGAAUAAGUCAACGAUGCAAAGACUGUCAGUAUAAGAAAUUUCAACAGAAGUGUAAUGGAGGACAAACGUGUAAGCAUCAGCAUGUUUUAAUUUUAGGUACCCAUUGGUGAUGGCAUGACAAUUUGUCGAAAAUUAUGAUUUUGCAACAAAAGACUGAUGGCAUUGGUUGACCUUCCCGUGGUGGCAAUUUUCUGGAAGGGUAUAAUACAUGCAGUCGGAAGCAUUUAAAAUUUUAUAUUUAUCGAUUCCAUUGAAGCGUAUACAGCCUUUAUUUUUAUGUGCUCCAACCAACUAGGAUACAUGCAUUUUUCUAUCUCAGUCAUCCUGGGAGAGAGGUAUUUGGAUGUUAAAAAGAGAGUUAAAUAGAUUAAGGCUGCAUUUAGAUGUUGUAAAGAUAGUUAAAGAUAAGAAAGAAAAAAUGUUUUUUUUUUUUUUUGGUUGGGGCAAGUAAAUGAGAAGUAAAUAUAUGUUUGUCAAAAUAACUUCUUUUAUUUAGUUUUGUAUAGAAAAAAUUUAUAUGGGUGAGUUCAUUUCUCUUCCA